rnacentral:rRNA from 1 species
UGGGGAAUAUUGGACAAUGGGGGGAACCCUGAUCCAGCGACGCCGCGUGAGUGAAGAAGUAUUUCGGUAUGUAAAGCUCUAUCAGCAGGGAAGAAAGAAAUGACGGUACCUGACUAAGAAGCCCCGGCUAACUACGUGCCAGCAGCCGCGGUAAUACGUAGGGGGCAAGCGUUAUCCGGAUUUACUGGGUGUAAAGGGAGCGUAGACGGUUACGCAAGUCUGGAGUGAAAGGCGGGGGCCCAACCCCCGGACUGCUUUGGAAACUGUAUAACUGGAGUGCAGGAGAGGUAAGUGGAAUUCCUAGUGUAGCGGUGAAAUGCGUAGAUAUUAGGAGGAACACCAGUGGCGAAGGCGGCUUACUGGACUGUAACUGACGUUGAGGCUCGAAAGCGUGGGGAGCAAACAGG